rnacentral:tRNA from 1 species
AUUUUUCUAGUAUAAAGUAAUACAAGUGACUUCCACUCACUAAAUCCUGACACCACCUCAGGGAAAGAUA